UACGGAGGGUGCAAGCGUUAUCCGGAUUCACUGGGUUUAAAGGGUGCGUAGGCGGGCAGGUAAGUCAGUGGUGAAAUCUCCGAGCUUAACUCGGAAACUGCCGUUGAUACUACUUGUCUUGAAUAUUGUGGAGGUAAGCGGAAUAUGUCAUGUAGCGGUGAAAUGCUUAGAUAUGACAUAGAACACCAAUUGCGAAGGCAGCUUACUACACAAUGAUUGACGCUGAGGCACGAAAGCGUGGGGGAUCAAAACAGG
rnacentral:rRNA from 1 species